CCUACGGGUGGCAGCAGUGGGGGAUAUUGCACAAUGGGGGAAACCCUGAUGCAGCGACGCCGCGUGAGUGAAGAAGGAUUUCGGUAUGUAAAGCUCUAUCAGCGGGGAAGAAAAUGACAGUACCUGACCAAGAAGCCCCGGCGAACUCCGUGCCAGCAGCCGCGGUAAUACGUAGGGGGCAAGCGUUAUCCGGAUUUACUGGGUGUAAAGGGAGCGUAGACGGUUAGUUAAGUCUGGAGUGAAGGCCCGGGGCCCAACCUGGGGACUGCUUUGGAAACUGUGUAACUGGAGUCCAGGAGGGGCAGGUAGAAUUCCAGGUGUAGCGGUGAAAUGCGUAGAGAUCAGGAGGAAUACCGGCGGCGAAGGCGGCCUGCUGGACUGAAACUGACGCUGAGGUUCGAAAGCGUGGGGAGCAAACAGGAUUAGAUACCCCAGUAGUC
rnacentral:rRNA from 1 species